CAUGCAAGUUGAGCGCUGAAGGUUGGUACUUGUACCAACUGGAUGAGCAGCGAACGGGUGAGUAACGCGUGGGGAAUCUGCCUUUGAGCGGGGGACAACAUUUGGAAACGAAUGCUAAUACCGCAUAAAAACUUUAAACACAAGUUUUAAGUUUGAAAGAUGCAAUUGCAUCACUCAGAGAUGAUCCCGCGUUGUAUUAGCUAGUUGGUGAGGUAAAGGCUCACCAAGGCGAUGAUACAUAGCCGACCUGAGAGGGUGAUCGGCCACAUUGGGACUGAGACACGGCCCAAACUCCUACGGGAGGCAGCAGUAGGGAAUCUUCGGCAAUGGACGAAAGUCUGACCGAGCAACGCCGCGUGAGUGAAGAAGGUUUUCGGAUCGUAAAACUCUGUUGGUAGAGAAGAACGUUGGUGAGAGUGGAAAGCUCAUCAAGUGACGGUAACUACCCAGAAAGGGACGGCUAACUACGUGCCAGCAGCCGCGGUAAUACGUAGGUCCCGAGCGUUGUCCGGAUUUAUUGGGCGUAAAGCGAGCGCAGGUGGUUUAUUAAGUCUGGUGUAAAAGGCAGUGGCUCAACCAUUGUAUGCAUUGGAAACUGGUAGACUUGAGUGCAGGAGAGGAGAGUGGAAUUCCAUGUGUAGCGGUGAAAUGCGUAGAUAUAUGGAGGAACACCGGUGGCGAAAGCGGCUCUCUGGCCUGUAACUGACACUGAGGCUCGAAAGCGUGGGGAGCAAACAGGAUUAGAUACCCUGGUAGUCCACGCCGUAAACGAUGAGUGCUAGAUGUAGGGAGCUAUAAGUUCUCUGUAUCGCAGCUAACGCAAUAAGCACUCCGCCUGGGGAGUACGACCGCAAGGUUGAAACUCAAAGGAAUUGACGGGGGCCCGCACAAGCGGUGGAGCAUGUGGUUUAAUUCGAAGCAACGCGAAGAACCUUACCAAGGUCUUGACAUACUCGUGCUAUUCCUAGAGAUAGGAAGUUCCUUCGGGACACGGGAUACAGGUGGUGCAUGGGUGUCGUCAGCUCGUGUCGUGAGAUGUUGGGUUAAGUCCCGCACGAGCGCACCCCUAUGUUAGUUGCCAUCAUUAAGUUUGGCACU
rnacentral:rRNA from 1 species